AUACGUAGGUGGCGAGCGUUAUCCGGAUUUACUGGGUGUAAAGGGCGCGUAGGCGGGGGUGCAAGUCAGAUGUGAAAUCUAUGGGCUCAACUCAUAAACUGCAUUUGAAACUGUACUUCUUGAGUACUGGAGAGGUAGACGGAAUUCCUUGUGUAGCGGUGAAAUGCGUAGAUAUAAGGAAGAACACCAGUGGCGAAGGCGGUCUACUGGACAGCAACUGACGCUGAGGCGCGAAAGCGUGGGGAGCAAACAGGAUUAGAUACCCUGGUAGUCCACGCUGUAAACGAUGAUGACUAACCGUCGGCGAUAGACAGCCGGUGGCCAAGCGAAAGCGAUAAGUCAUCCACCUGGGGAGUACGUCGGCAACGAUGAAACUCAAAGGAAUUGGCGGGG
rnacentral:rRNA from 1 species